UGGGGAAUAUUGGACAAUGGGCGAAAGCCUGAUCCAGCCAUGCCGCGUGUGUGAAGAAGGUCUUCGGAUUGUAAAGCACUUUAAGUUGGGAGGAAGGGCCAUUACCUAAUACGUGAUGGUUUUGACGUUACCGACAGAAUAAGCACCGGCUAACUCUGUGCCAGCAGCCGCGGUAAUACAGAGGGUGCAAGCGUUAAUCGGAAUUACUGGGCGUAAAGCGCGCGUAGGUGGUUUGUUAAGUUGGAUGUGAAAUCCCCGGGCUCAACCUGGGAACUGCAUUCAAAACUGACUGACUAGAGUAUGGUAGAGGGUGGUGGAAUUUCCUGUGUAGCGGUGAAAUGCGUAGAUAUAGGAAGGAACACCAGUGGCGAAGGCGACCACCUGGACUGAUACUGACACUGAGGUGCGAAAGCGUGGGGAGCAAACAGGAUUAGAUACCCUUGUAGUCCCUGAGCGGGCUGGCAAGGCGCAU
rnacentral:rRNA from 1 species